rnacentral:rRNA from 1 species
GAGUUUGAUCGUGGCUCAGAUUGAACGCUGGCGGCAGGCCUAACACAUGCAAGUCGAGCGGAUGACGGGAGCUUGCUCCUUGAUUCAGCGGCGGACGGGUGAGUAAUGCCUAGGAAUCUGCCUGGUAGUGGGGGACAACGUUUCGAAAGGAACGCUAAUACCGCAUAACGUCCUACGGGAGAAAGCAGGGGACCUUCGGGCCUUGCGCUAUCAGAUGAGCCUAGGUCGGAUUAGCUAGUUGGUGGGGUAAUGGCUCACCAAGGCGACGAUCCGUAACUGGUCUGAGAGGAUGAUCAGUCACACCUGGAACUGAGACACGGUCCAGACUCCGUACGGGUAGGCAGCAGUGGGGAAUAUUGGACAAUGGGCGAAAGCCUGAUCCAGCCAUGCCGCGUGUGUGAAGAAGGUCUUCGGAUUGUAAAGCACUUUAAGUU